AUUUAUUUAAAAUGAUGAGAGCAUAGUUCAUCUGAGGACUCUCUGAUGUAUAACUUUUGCAAUGUCUUUCGCUCCUAUCUGAUAAUAUAU